rnacentral:rRNA from 1 species
CGAACCUGGAGAUAGCUGGUUCUCUCCGAAAUAGCUUUAGGGCUAGCCUCAAGUGAUGAUUAUUGGAGGUAGAGCACUGUUUGGACGAGGGGCCCCUCUCGGGUUACCGAAUUCAGACAAACUCCGAAUGCCAAUUAAUUUAACUUGGGAGUCAGAACAUGGGUGAUAAGGUCCGUGUUCGAAAGGGAAACAGCCCAGACCACCAGCUAAGGUCCCAAAAUAUAUGUUAAGUGGAAAAGGAUGUGGCGUUGCCCAGACAACUAGGAUGUUGGCUUAGAAGCAGCCAUCAUUUAAAGAGUGCGUAAUAGCUCACUAGUCGAGUGACACUGCGCCGAAAAUGUACCGGGGCUAAACAUAUUACCGAAGCUGUGGAUUGUCCUUUGGACAAUGGUAGGAGAGCGUUCUAAGGGCGUUGAAGCAUGAUCGUAAGGACAUGUGGAGCGCUUAGAAGUGAGAAUGCCGGUGUGAGUAGCGAAAGACGGGUGAGAAUCCCGUCCACCGAUUGACUAAGGUUUCCAGAGGAAGGCUCGUCCGCUCUGGGUUAGUCGGGUCCUAAGCUGAGGCCGACAGGCGUAGGCGAUGGAUAACAGGUUGAUAUUCCUGUACCACCUAUAAUCGUUUUAAUCGAUGGGGGGACGCAGUAGGAUAGGCGAAGCGUGCGAUUGGAUUGCACGUCUAAGCAGUAAGGCUGAGUAUUAGGCAAAUCCGGUACUCGUUAAGGCUGAGCUGUGAUGGGGAGAAGACAUUG